rnacentral:ncRNA from 1 species
AAACUUGAGAGUUUGAUCCUGGCUCAGAACGAACGCUGGCGGCAGGCCUAACACAUGCAAGUCGAGCGGUCCUUAGGGACAGCGGCGGACGGGUUAGUAACGCGUGGGAACGUGCCCUUUAGUACGGAAUAGCCAUUGGAAACGAUGAUUAAUACCGUA